CGGUCGAUAGCUCCCGCGUGCAAGCACGGCCAUGUUGCACGCCUCGCGCGCGCUUUCGGGUAGGCUAGCUGGAGUCCCCGGCUCUCGUCCGCGAGCGGAGUGUCUGUGCCGCGCGGGUGUCAUGUGCUAGUCAGUCGGACUUGGAAGUCUGGAGUGCUCUCGUUCAGGAUUUACAAUAAUGCAGCGGACACAUGGAUUGUAGCUUCGGGGAACCGAAACCCGAUUCAUGCCUUGCGCUGCGUCCAGACGCUAUGCUACUAAAGAGAUGUGAGCAGCGCGGGCGGCGAGGCGGGAGCGCGGGCGCGGGGG